rnacentral:ribozyme from 1 species
UCUUCUCAUUUAUCUUUAUCUUUGUUUUUUUGCCUUUUUUUUUCGUGAACCAGUUCGCGACUUCAUAAAAUCAGAAAGAUCUCUAAUUCGAUCUGAAGUUCUAGAUUUAACUAGCACAGGUUCAUCAGCUGCUGCACUGAUUUCUUCCUUGCUGACGCUUUUUGUAAUUUUAUCUUUGGAGAAUUUUCCAACAGAAAGA